GACGAACGCUGGCGGCGUGCUUAACACAUGCAAGUCGAACGGAAAGGCCCUGCUUUUGUGGGGUGCUCGAGUGGCGAACGGGUGAGUAACACGUGAGUAACCUGCCCUUGACUUUGGGAUAACUUCAGGAAACUGGGGCUAAUACCGGAUAGGAGCUCCUGCUGCAUGGUGGGGGUUGGAAAGUUUCGGCGGUUGGGGAUGGACUCGCGGCUUAUCAGCUUGUUGGUGGGGUAGUGGCUUACCAAGGCUUUGACGGGUAGCCGGCCUGAGAGGGUGACCGGCCACAUUGGGACUGGGAUACGGCGCAGACUCCUACGGGAGGCAGCAGUGGGGAAUAUUGCACAGUGGGCGGAAGCCUGAUGCAGCAACGCCGCGUGCGGGAUGACGGCCUUCGGGUUGUAAACCGCUUUCGCCUGUGACGAAGCGUGAGUGACGGUAAUGGGUAAAGAAGCACCGGCUAACUACGUG
rnacentral:rRNA from 1 species